rnacentral:ncRNA from 2 species
AUGCUGAAAGGAGUCGCCGGUCCCCGCGAGGGGAACGAGAGGGAAUGCGGUGCGGGCGAAAGCCCAAUGCCGCGGCUGCCCCCGCAACUGUAAGCGGUGAGCUUUGCCCGAAAGCCACUGGAGGCCGCGCCUCCGGGAAGGCGGGAGAAGCGCCAUAACCGCGAGCCAGGAGACCUGCCGGCGGCGAAGACGAAAC